rnacentral:rRNA from 1 species
UACGUAGGGUGCGAGCGUUGUCCGGAAUUACUGGGCGUAAAGAGCUCGUAGGUGGUUUGUCACGUUGUUCGUGAAAACUCACAGCUCAACUGUGGGCGUGCGGGCGAUACGGGCAGACUGGAGUACUGCAGGGGAGACUGGAAUUCCUGGUGUAGCGGUGGAAUGCGCAGAUAUCAGGAGGAACACCUGCGGCGAAGGCGGGUUGCUGGGCUGAUACUGACGCUGAGGCGCGAAAGCCAGGGGAGCGAACGGG